rnacentral:rRNA from 1 species
UACGUAGGGAGCAAGCGUUGUCCGGAAUCAUUGGGCGUAAAGCGCGCGUAGGUGGCUUCGUAAGUCCGUUGUGAAAGUCAAAGGCUCAACCUUUGAAAGCCGAUGGAUACUGCGGAGCUAGAGUACGGAAGAGGCGAGUGGAAUUCCUGGUGUAGCGGUGGAAUGCGCAGAUAUCAGGAGGAACACCAAUGGCGAAGGCAGCUCGCUGGGACGGUACUGACACUGAGACGCGAAAGCGUGGGGAGCAAACAGG